rnacentral:rRNA from 1 species
CGAUGCUUCAUUCAAAUUCUGCCUAUCAACUUUCGAUGGUGGAUGAGGCCUACCAUGGUUUCAACGGGUACGGGGAAUAGGGUUCGAUUCCGGAGAGGGAGCUGAGAAACGGUACACAUCCAAGGAAGGCAGCAGGCGCGCAAAUUACCCAAUCCCGACACGGGGAGGUAGUGACAAUAAUACAAUAUGGGCUCUUUCGGGUCUUAUAUUGGAAUGAGUCAAUUUAAAUCCCUUAACGAGGAACAAUUGGAGGGCAAGUCUGGUGCCAGCAGCCGCGGUAUUCCAGCUCCAAUAGCGUAUAUUAAAGUUGUUGCAGUUAAAAAGCUCGUAGUUGAAUUUUAGGCCUGGUUGGACGGUCUGCUCUAGGGUUUGUACUGUCCUGACUGGGUCUUACCUUCUGGUGAGCUGUCGUAUUGUUUACUCAGUGCGGCAGGGAACCAGGACUUUUACUUUGAAAAAAUUAGAGUGUUUAAAGCAGG